rnacentral:rRNA from 1 species
GCUAUGUGCGGACGGGAUAAGUGCUGAAAGCAUCUAAGCAUGAAGCCCCCCUCAAGAUGAGAUUUCCCAUUCCGCAAGGAAGUAAGAUCCCUGAAAGAUGAUCAGGUUGAUAGGUCUGAGGUGGAAGUGUGGCGACACAUGGAGCUGACAGAUACUAAUCGAUCGAGGACUUAACCAUAUUU